UUGUGGAGGAUGUUCGAGCCAAGAGAAGUGUUUUGGUGGAGAGAGCACCCAAGAGUAGAAAAGCUUUCCAAUGGUUAGAGUGCUGUUUCCGACCUCCAUGAAUUUUUGAGGUAUCGUCGAGCUCUAGACGUUAAAUUAAGCACUUGUUGGGAGGUAACCCAACCGUUUUUGUUUUGUUUUUCUUUCUUUUAGUUUCGUUUUGUUUCUUUUUGUUUUGUUGUUUUGUUUGGGGUUUUAGUGCAGUGUUGAGCUUGGAAGAUGAGGGAACUCGCGCUUUGUUCAUACCACCACCAUGGAGCAUGUUUUUCUGUGAGUAGUGACAUACAUAUCAUCAUCCCUCCAAGUUUGGGGGAGGGGGGUGAGAAUAGAUAUGUGUAUCACUUUUAUUAUUUUUGUUAGUUUUUUUUUUGUUUUAUCCUACUUGGUUGGUGAUGUGUGUUUGUUUUAUUUUUGAGAUGAUUAUUGCUCCAUUAGAAUUCUGGUAAGAUGCCAAUGAUGAUUUCUGUGAAAAAAAAUUGGAAUUUGAUUUUUCUUUGAUGAUUUAAGCAUAAUUGGAACUAAUUUGCAUAAUUUUAGAGUGAUUUUAACCUUGACUUUUAGACGUUGAAUAAACCUGUGAGAUUUUGAGCCAUAACUGUUUAU
rnacentral:lncRNA from 1 species